rnacentral:rRNA from 1 species
GACGAACCGUGCAAACGUUUAUUCGGAAUCACUGGGCUUAAAGGGCGCGUAGGCGGGUAACCAAGUCCGGGGUGAAAUCCUCCAGCUUAACUGGAGAAGUGCCUCGGAUACUGGUCGUCUCGAGGAGGGUAGGGGCAUCUGGAACUAGCGGUGGAGCGGUGAAAUGCGUUGAUAUCGCUAGGAACUCCGAUGGCGAAGGCAAGGUGCUGGACCCUUUCUGACGCUGAGGCGCGAAAGCCAGGGGAGCGAACGGG